CUCGCCCCCCGGCGCAGGGGGUUGGGGGUCCCUCCGUGGGGAGCCCCGCGCGUUUCCCCGUCCCCUCCGGCCCUGGGAUCGCCGGGUGUCCCGCUGGUGCUGCCCCGCAGGGCCGAGCACUGUCACGACCCGCUGCCGCAAACACGAGCUUGGGCCCUGCCAGCCCACGGAGGGGCUGCGGUGGGGAACUGCUGCUAUCACCAGACCUCCUGGGCAGCUCUAGGCUUCUCCUGCUCACCAGUGCCAGACCCGCGUGGCUCCAUGGUGCUCCCAGGACCUGCUGCCCUGGAGUAUCAGGGGCCAGGGCCAAGCCAGGCACCCAUUUUCUCCUCCCGCAGUCCUACAGAAGACCCCAGUCAGGCCUCUGAGGACAGCCCCAGUGAGACCAGGACACGUGGUGACACCAAUGGGAGCCCACUCUCCCAGCUGAGACCCUCGGCGUCUGCUUCCCACCUCCCUCGACCCAUCCCAGGGCCACCAGGGCUGGGGGUUUGCUCCGGCACGUCCUGGUGCAGAUCUGGGGAGGAGACAUGAACAUCUGUGAUGCCCAUGCUUGCAAGGAUUUCCUGGGCACUGUUGCAUGGGAAAUGUGCAUUUGUAGGACACAGCAUUGUGCUGGGGGUGCGUGUGUCCCUGGGCAUGCAUGAGCACAUGGGCUGAGCACAGCAUGGCAGGGGCCACCAGGCGCAGGAACCAGCUAAAAGCAGCCCUGCAGGGAAGGGGAUGAGCUCAGCUGGGCGCAGGGCACGGUGCAGCCCCCCCGCAGAUGUGGUGGCUCGUGUUCUGCAGUGUGGAAAUCCCACUGCUUGCACCGAGGCUGGUGCAUGUGGGACUGGGGCAUUUGUGUGGGUCUGAAGACAGUGUGGGGAGCCUUCCACUGCCCUCAAGGCCCCGUUGGGCUGGGGGCUGCACAGCCUUCCCGCGGCCACAGCAUUGACCCGGGCGAGGAGAAACGCGCCGAGGUCCUUCUGAGACUGGCAGUUCCACCCAGUAGGGAACGGACACGUUUCCUUGCAGGAACCAACCCAUGCAUUCAGCACACAGGGAGGGCACUAAAAAAGGAGCUGUGUUUAAAAGAAAAAAAAAAAAAAAGUUGCAGUUUCUGUUUUGCUGCUCUCAGCAAGAAAUACGUUUCCAACGUCUCUGCAGGCAGUGAAUGCUGGGUGGUUAUAAUAUUUGUGACCAUAAUGUUCAUCAAUCAUAAGUAUCCAGUAUUUACAUUGCCUAAUACUUACAUAUUCAUUAUUAGGAACAUGACCUUUCAAAACUUCUGUAUAUUAAAACUGUAAACUCAAGCUUUGUUUUCCUUUUAGGCACGCAACAAAAUGAAAGCUGCUUGGGGCAGGCUGCGCUGCUUCCUUUUCUUUUUUUUUAGCUCUUUCUCGUUUCUACUGUUUAAAAACUUGUCUCCUUGUGACCAUGACUGCAGUUUUGAUUCGAUUUUUUUUCCUUCCAUAUCCCUUUCAAGCACUCAUGAAGCCAGAGAACCUGGGAAGCUCGGACAGUGAAGCGAAGGC